CUCUCACUCGCAUUCUUUUAUUUCUUUUUUUCACUUUUAUUCUUCUCCUUCUCUCAUAUAUUUCUUGCUAUCUGAUAUCUCUCUCGAUUUCUAUUAAAUAAUCUUCUCAUCUCCCUCACUCUCGCUCACUCUUUCUUCUUUCUUUCUUUUUCUUACUUUUCUUCAUAUUCCCGUCUCUAUCUCUCUAUCUACCUCCCGUAAGCCCACUCUCACUUCUCAUAUUUUUGGCCACAUUUGCUCUUUGCAGCUGUCUAUAUUUUUGUUUCCAUCGUGGAUCUGCAGAGGAGAGUGUGAUCUCUUACACGCCUGAUCAGGUUUUGGUUAGCAACGGGGCCAAGCAGAGUAUUCAUCAAGCCUUUGCUUGCAGUUUGUUCCCCCAGAGAUGAGAUCACGUUUAUUGGAUGCUGAAUGGAUGUUUUUUUUCUUCUCUCAUGCCUAGCUAUUUAUGGUGUUGGUUUCUGUAGAUUGGUUACUGUGUGGAUUUUUUUCUUCUGUUAAGUGUUGGGUUUGAACCAAACCAGUUUGCUCUAAAGUAUUUUUUUUUUGUUUGUAUUUUUGUAAUAAUUUUUGUUUGAUUUCUCACUAUAUAUUGUAAAUAAGGUUACCUCUUGUAAAUAAGAUUAUUACAUAACCUCUUUUGUAGAUAGGGCUUUCAGAUGCAUUUCUUUUAUUUUUACUUGUCUGCCAAUUUUUUUUGAAGUGCAUUCACAGUUUC